GAGGUACUCCCUCCGUUCGGAAUUACUUGUCGCGAAAAUGGAUGUAUCUAGACGUAUUUUAGUUUUAGAUAUAUUCAUUGACAAGUAAUUCCGAACGAAGGGAGUAGAUG
rnacentral:pre_miRNA from 1 species